GAUUAAUUGAAAAGAGCAUUUGGUGAAUGCCUUGGUAUCAGGAGGCGAUGAAGGAGGCGGAAGACUGCCAAAAGCUUCGGGGAGCUGUCAAUCUAGCUACGAUCCGAAGAUUUCCGAAUGGGGAAACCCGACUAGGUAAAACCUAGUCAUUUUUAUCUGAACACAUAGGAUAAAAAAGCGAACGGUGCGAACUGAAACAUCUCAGUAGUGCCAGGAAGAGAAAACGAAGUGAUUCCCUAAGUAGUGGUGAGCGAAAUGGGAAGAGCCUAAAAUCAUGCUAUGUAAGCCUACGCGCGUUGUAGCAUGGUGGUUGUGGGAUACGAACGUAUGAGAUGUGUAGAUCUCAUGUCGUAAUUUUUAAUUUAGUUGAAUUGUUCUGGAAAGGACAGCUAUAAAGAGUGACAGCCUCGUAGACGAAAAGUUAAAAAGAAUGAUUGUUUGUACACCCGAGUAUCACGGAGCACGAGGAAUUCCGUGAGAAUCAGCCCCGACCAUGGGGUAAGGCUAAAUACUACCUGAUGACCGAUAGUGAACUAGUACCGUGAGGGAAAGGUGAAAAGAACCCCGGAAGGGGAGUGAAAUAGAAACUGAAACCAAAUGUUUAUAAUCGGAGGAAGCGAUGUAUACGUACGCGCGACCUCGUACCUUUUGCAUAAUGGACCAACGAGUUACUCCUAUAUUGCAAGGUUAAGCUUAGAAAGAGCGGAGCCGUAGCGAAAGCGAGUCUUAAUAGGGCGCAUAGUAAUAUGGGGUAGACCCGAAACCAAGUGAGCUAACCAUGUCCAGGAUGAAGUCCUCGUAACAGAGGAUGGAGGUCCGAACCGGUGUAGGCUGAAAACUGCUCGGAUGAGGUGUGGUUAGGGGUGAAAGGCCAAUCAAACUUGGAAAUAGCUGGUUCUCCCCGAAAUAUAUUUAGGUAUAGCCUUGGUGAAUUUCUUGUGGUGGUAAAGCACAGUUUAGAUUUUAGGGGCGCAAGCUUACUAUAUCUUUACUAACUCUGAAUGCUACAGGUUUAGAAACCAGGAGUCAGACUACGGGAGAUAAGUUCCGUGGUCGAAAGGGAAACAGCCCAGACCAUCAGCUAAGGUCCCAAAAUAUCCAUUAAGUGGUAAAAGAUGUGGAAAUACACAGACAGCCAGGAUGUUGGCUUAGAAGCAGCCAUCAUUUAAAGAAAGCGUAAUAGCUCACUGGUCAAGUGUUUUUGCGCUGAAGAACAAACGGGGCUUAAAUGGAUUACCGAAGCUAUGGCAUACUCUUUGAGUAUGGGUAGGGGAGCGUUCUUUGAUAGAUACGAGCCUGACCGUAAGGACAGGUGAUGGAUCAAAGAAGUGAGAAUGUUGGUAUAAGUAACGAAAAAACAGGUGAGAUUCCUGUUCGCCGAAAAUCUAAGGUUUCCGUGAGAUCGGUUUAUCCACUCAGGGUUAGUCGGCCCCUAAGUCGAGGCCAAUUGGAGUAGACGAUGGGAAGCAGGUUAAAUAUUCCUGCACCGUUUUUGAGCGUUUGAGCGAUGGAGUGACGCAGUAAGGCAGAUUGACUUGGUAUUUGGUUUACCAAGCUAAGCAUUUAGAGGGAUUCUAUUGGCAAAUCCGUAGAAUCAUUACCUUGAGGUGUUAUGGGCACAUCAAUCCUUAAUGGAGAGAUGUGUUUGAUUGAUCCUACACUGACUAGAAAACCUUCUAGCGAGCUUUAAAAAUGACCGUACCGCAAACUGACACAGGUAGAUGGGCUGAAAAUGCUCAGGCGUUGAGAUAACUAUCAUUAAGGAACUCGGCAAAUUGACUCCGUAACUUUGGGAAAAGGAGUGCCUGCAGUGUUACUAGUGUAUUUUUUACAUUGGAAAGCACAGGCAGGUUGCAACAAAGCGGCCCAACCGACUGUUUAGCAAAAACACAGGGCUCUGCAAACUCGAAAGAGGAAGUAUAGAGUCUGACGCCUGCCCAGUGCUGGAAGGUUAACAGGAGGGGUUAGUUCUUCGGAACGAAGCUCUGAAUCGAAGCCCCAGUAAACGGCGGCCGUAACUAUGAAAAUGGACCUUUGUAGUUGUAAAAUUUGGCUAUAUGCUGGAACACCUCGCUUGAUCCUGCACUACUCGUCAUGUAAAUGGCAGUGAAAAUGUGUUAGGUAGAGGCAAUCAGCAGGAAAGGCUUUAACUUUUUAGGAACUAGUAUGAUUUAUGAUCCUAAUCGUGUGCCAAAGUCAAUCGGAUAUUAUUUAGCUGGUUUUACUGAUGGAGAAGGAAGCUUUAAUGUGUCUUUCAGAUACAGAAAAGAUUAUAAAAAUUGUUGGAAAGUUUCAGCUUGCUUUAACAUUUCUAACAAAGAUAAAGUAAUCUUGGAUGUAUUUAAAAAAUACUUACAAUGUGGAACGAUGAGAUCAAGAUCUGAUGGUGUUUGGUAUUUCGAAGUAAAUACUUUACAAACUAUUCUUGAUCAUAUUGUACCAUUUUUUAAGCUAUACCCUUUUCUUUCAGCUAAAAAACAGAAUGAUUUUUCAAAAUUUUGUCAAAUUUUGGACAUUCUAACUAGCGAUAAUCCACGAUCGACGCCUAAUAUUCAAAAGAUUCUUCAUUUGAGGAAUAAUAUGAAUGGUGGUGGUAAACGUAAGUUUAGUGAUGAAGAGAUUCUAUCUAAACUAUGUUAAAGAAUCCUCAGAGACUAGUACGCCAAACUCAAUCACAUACUUUUUUAGAUUGAGAUGAUACAGUCCGAUCUCUAUGGCGACAUAGAGAGUGAGUAUGAAAGUACUCACCCCUUUAAAUACAUAGCGUGUUUAAAGGAGUAACAUGAAUGAACGGUCCUAAGGUAGCGAAAUACCUUGUCGGGUAAAUUCCGACGCGCAUGAAUGGCGUAACGAGUUGGGCACUGUCUUGAUGAUAGACUCAGUGAAAUUGUAGUACAAGUGAAAAUGCUUGUUACCCGCGAUAGGACGGAAAGACCCCGUGCACCUUUACUAUAACUUGACAUUGAUUUUUGGGUGUGUUUGUGUAGGAUAGGCGGGAGACUUUGAUACUGUGGCGCUAGCUGCAGUGGAGUCGUCCUUGAAAUACCGCCCUUAUAUGUUUGAAUUUCUAACUUUGAAUACCCGUGAUCCGGGCAAAGGACAGUGUCUGGUGGGUAGUUUGACUGGGGUGGUCGCCUCCUAAAUUGUAACGGAGGUGUUCUAAGGUUUCCUCAUGACGAAUAGAAAUCGUCGGAAGAGCGUAAAGGCAGAAGGAAGCUUAACUGCGAGACAUACAGGUCGAGCAGGUACGAAAGUAGGACUUAGUGAUCCGGUGGUUCCGAAUGGAAGGGCCAUCGCUCAACGGAUAAAAGGUACGCCGGGGAUAACAGGCUUAUCUCCUCUGAGAGUCCAUAUCGACGAGGAGGUUUGGCACCUCGAUGUCGGCUCAUCGCAUCCUGGAGCUGGAGAAGGUUCCAAGGGUUUGGCUGUUCGCCAAUUAAAGCGGUACGCGAGCUGGGUUCAGAACGUCGUAAGACAGUUCGGUCCUUAUCCAUCGUGGGCGUAGGGUAUUUGAGAGAGCUUGUUCCUAGUACGAGAGGACCGGAAUGAGUAAGCCUCUGGUGUACCAGUUGUUUACCAAAAGCAACGCUGGGUAGCUAGGCUUAUAAGAGAUAACCGCUGAAAGCAUCUAAGCGGGAAACUCGUCUCAAGAUUAGAUACCCCGUAGCAAUAAAAUGAGUUUGAGAACUUCGGUUCGAUAACAAGUGGCAUUGUUACAUAGUAAGACCCCUUGAAGACUACAAGGUUGAUAGGCUGGGUGUGUAAGUGCAGUAAUGCAUUAAGCUAACCAGUACUAAUAGGUCGAGAGUUUUAAUCAC
rnacentral:rRNA from 1 species